rnacentral:lncRNA from 1 species
UAGCCUAAACUCCCCACUGAAAACCUUGCCACCCUGAAUAGGAGUCCCUGCUUCCACAGCCACCCCUCAGACUGCCAGCUCUUUGUAGAGACCCUCUGACUAGCACUUCCAUAACCUCAGUAAUUUGUGCCUAGGCCACAGUGAGUGUUUGAUGGACAUUGCCCAACCAAGUGGCUGAAUGAGGGGAGGAAGGACUGAAGGAUUGCUGAGAAGAAAACAUCCUAUCAGGUUGCCUGGAGACUUAAGGAGAUGUCUAAUGAGACUUUUAGGUGUCAGUUUCUGUGGCCAGGCAGACAGCAGAUCUGAGAUGAGAUGGAAGAGAGAUUGGUGUGGGGAGAUAGCCUUGGUGUGGGCCUUGUGGGUUUGCACAGGGCCUGUGAGAAUCUCAGAGGAGGUAAACAGCAUUUAUGGGGUUGGAUCCCAGAAGAGAGGAAGGAGAUUCCUAGAGAUUUGGGAUCCUUGUUCUAAAACAGCCAUUCUCAGCUGUUCUUGGGAGGGGUCAAAUGGCCCUUAGCAUAGGGGUCACCUAAAACCAUGUGUAUCAGAUAUUUAUAUUACAAUUCAUAACUAGCAAAAUUACAGUUAUGAAGUAUCAAUGGAAGUAAAUUUAUGGCUGGGGUCACCACAACCUAAAGAGCUGUAUUAACACAUAAGGAAGAGUGAGGACCACUGGUCUAAAGGACAGGUGAGGACACAGUGAUGGAUGGACGCACAGGCCAA